AAAACGACUCUCGGCAACGGAUAUCUCGGCUCUCGCAUCGAUGAAGAACGUAGCGAAAUGCGAUACUUGGUGUGAAUUGCAGAAUCCCGUGAACCAUCGAGUCUUUGAACGCAAGUUGCGCCCCAAGCCUUCGGGCCGAGGGCACGUCUGCCUGGGUGUCACA
rnacentral:rRNA from 1 species